rnacentral:rRNA from 1 species
GGAGCCGGUGCUUACAAUGCAGUCACACGCUGAAGCCCCAGCUUGCUGGGGUGGAUGAUGGUAACGGGUGAGUAACGAGUGAGUAACCUUCCCUUGACUCUGGGAUAACACUGGGAAACCGGGUCUAAUACCGGAUGCGACCGUCCACCGCAUGGUGGGGGGUGGAAAGAUUUAUCGGUCUUGGAUGGACUCGCGGCCUAUCAGCUUGUUGGUGGGGUAAUGGCCCACCAAGGCGACAACGGGUAGCCGGCCUGAAAGGGUGACCGGCCACACUGGGACUGAAACACGGCCCAAACUCCUACGGGAGGCAGCAGUGGGGAAUAUUGCACAAUGGGCGCAAGCCUGAUGCAGCGACGCCGCGUGAGGGAUGACGGCCUUCGGGUUGUAAACCUCUUUCAGUAGGGAAGAAGCGAAAGUGACGGUACCUGCAGAAGAAGCGCCGGCUAACUACGUGCCAGCAGCCGCGGUAAUACGUAGGGCGCGAGCGUUAUCCGGAAUUAUUGGGCGUAAAGAGCUCGUAGGCGGUUUGUCACGUCUGCCGUGAAAGUCCGGGGCUUAACCCCGGAUCUGCGGUGGGUACGGGCAGACUGGAGUGCAGUAGGGGAGACUGGAAUUCCUGGUGUAGCGGUGAAAUGCGCAGAUAUCAGGAGGAACACCGAUGGCGAAGGCAGGUCUCUGGGCUGUUACUGACGCUGAGGAGCGAAAGCAUGGGGAGCGAACAGGAUUAGAUACCCUGGUAGUCCAUGCCGUAAACGUUGGGCACUAGGUGUGGGGGCCAUUCCACGGUUUCCGCGCCGCAGCUAACGCAUUAAGUGCCCCGCCUGGGGAGUACGGCCGCAAGGCUAAAACUCAAAGGAAUUGACGGGGCCCGCACAAGCGGCGGAGCAUGCGGAUUAAUUCGAUGCAACGCGAAGAAUCUUACCAAGGCUUGACAUGUUCCCGACCGCCACAGAGAUGUGGUUUCCCCUUUGGGGCGGGUUCACAGGUGGUGCAUGGUUGUCGUCAGCUCGUGUCGUGAGAUGUGGGUAAGUCCCGCACGAGCGCACCUCGUCAUGUGCAGCGGGUUAUGCGGGACUCAUGGGAGACUGCGGUCACUCGGAGGAGGUGGGACGACGUCAAUCAUCAUGCCUUAGUCUGGCUUCACGCAUGCUACAUGCGGUACAUGGGUGCAAUCCUGGAGGUGACAUAUCCACAGCGUCAGUCGGAUGGUUGCAAUGAACCAAUGAAGUCGGAUCCGC